CUAUUGUUAUUUAACAGUUGAAUAACAUUAAAAACAAAAAAAAAACAUUAAAGAAAAAUUAUUUUUUAGUUAAACUAUAAACACAAUAAAAGAAAACUUUAUAGUUGAACUGUAAAACAGUUUUCUUUAAUGUUUUUUAAUGUUUUUGUUUUUAUUGUUUAUUUUAUCCAUAAUAGAUUUCAUCUCAUAUCAGUUUCAGUAGAUCAGUUGUUAUGACAACAAUGACUCAACUUGCCAUACAAAUGCAAACAUAGAAAAUUAUUAAAAUACUUCAAAAGAAAUAAAACAAUAAUAUCGUUCGAUCGCACCAAUAAUUUGAGUUCAUUAAUGCGCAUGCUUACUUUAGAUACUUUAUGACACAUGCGCUUUAUAUCUUAUCAACAUUAAAAAAUGGACUCAAAGGUUGGUAUUGGAGUUGGUGUUGGUUUAGGAUGUGGUGUUAUUAUUGGUAUAGUUAUUUUUUUUUUAAUACGCUAUUUUAAGAAUAAAAGUGGCAUGGAAGGAACUUAUAGACCAAAUCAGGAGGAGCUUCAUUCUAAUCAAGUAAUUGUAAACAAUCUAGCUAUACCAAACCCCGAGCGCCUAAUAUAGUCAAAACAAUGCAAAACAUAAUCGGAAAAAUUGGUGAGAAAAAACCUAGUAAAACUCAAUCUUUAAAAGAUAAAAAUGCUCCAAAUAACAAAUUGCAGAAUCAAACGAUUGUCAUUGCAGAAUCAACGACUGGAAAAAAUUUAGAAUAUAUUUUAGAAGGAUUUGGAAAAAUUCGUAAUUUUAUCUUUAACUUGACAAAUCAACCGAAUCGAAAAGUUUGUUAAAAAUAUUCAGGAAGUGGCGUUACAGACGUUUGUGAAAAGCAAUAUCACAAUAAUGGCUUAUUUAUUUAAAGUUCAUAUAUAAUAUAGUAACACAAUAGAUAUCCCAAGCAAAAGAAUUAUUAAUAAAUUAUACCAAUGAGUUUAAGCAGAAUAAUCAUUGGAUUUAUUUCUUUUAACACACAACGACGUUAUUAUUAAAAGAACUUGCGCAAAGAAAAUCUGUUUGUUUUUAAAAUGAAAAUUGUUUGUUUUUAUAACAACUACAAUUCAUUUUUCUAUUGCUUAAAACGUAUAAUAGCUGAUUUUUAAAACAGCAUUUUUUUUUAUACACAUUUAUAUUAUGGAGUUAUAAAACAAAUUUAUUUUUAUCUCCGCGUUAACUAGUCUUUAUUCUCAUUUUACUAAACAAAUUCCUAGCGAUUAAAAAUUAUAUUUUUUUAUGUUAUGUUUGUAUAUAUUAAUAGGUUAAAAAAUACUUUAAAAAGUUUAUGUUUUGAAAUUAUUUAUAUUAGAGUAUAAAAUUUAUAUAUUUUUUAAAUUUUAUAUUAUUUUAUAGGAAUAAAUUAUCGGUGUUGUAUAGUAAACAAUAUCAAUAUAUUUAUAAAUUUUUUGUCAGGGGUGAAAACAACAAAAAUAUAUAACCUAAUACAGUUGCAAGCUAUAGCAAAAAAAAUUAAUAAAAUGUUGUAUGUGUUAUACCAUAUAAGUACAUAAAAUGAGUGUAUGUACCAUACUUUUUUAUAAUACAUAUUAAGGGCUAAAA
rnacentral:lncRNA from 1 species